UUAUGUAGAGAGUGAGAGGGAAAAAGGGAAACUGAACAAUUUAGAAAGAGGGAAGCUAUUACUACUACAUCUUAAAUUACAAAGUCGGUGCUACAGUGCACCGACAAAAUUACAAGAAUACCCUUCGUGUAUUGUAAAAUGAACAACUUGCAAAGUGACCGUCAAUUGACCAGUUUGCCCUUUCUCCCACGAAGCACUCCGAGACUCGAUAUGGUUUUCCGGUGAAAGUAAUUUAAACCCUAACAACCACGAGGGUUACUGCUUCGUGGACUGACAGUUUGUGGUGGUUGCGCUGUGCGACAGUCUAGGGUUACGGUCAAUCGUUGGCUAACCCGUCUUCCCGCAAUGCAUGUACCAGAUCUGAGAUGGACUCAUCAGAUCGACGGCGGCUAAGGUAGAGAUUGUGAUUCUGGUACCGUACUUAUCGGCAACGACCCAAAAACACAACGAAAUCUUGCCGGUGACGGAUCGAUAAAGAACACGGGUCGUUGUGUACGAACGCAGGUCGGCAAUCGAAUCGGGAUUACACCGCCAACCGGCGUUGUGUACAAGUGCACGGGGUCUGGUACUUGAAUGAGAGGGAGAGAACAGAUUGGUUAAUGGUGAGAGUGAGAGCGAUGAAUUAAGAUCUGGGUACUUGAUAGUGUGAUCGGUUGAGAGAGAGAACCGAAGGAGGAAGAGGAGGGACAAAUGAGAAGAGUGAAAUUAGUGGAUCUGGCAGGUAUGCUUCAUGUCAAGCUGCGUAGGAAUAAUGAUGUCAUCCGAGUUUAG
rnacentral:lncRNA from 1 species